CCCAGAUGAGCUGCCUUUACCUGCGAUUCAGGCUCCCACCUGAUGCUCAGAACAGCCUCCCAGAAGCUGCCUCCAGUAGAGCCUUUGGGGCCACAUAGGCCUGAAUCCCAAUCAAGUCACAGGGGUUGGUGGAGUCUCUCUGGUGCAGACGUUCCGUUCCAGAGCCUUCGGUACGAGCUCAGACAGAUGAAAAGCUGUGUGUAAAGAACGAGCUUUCUGCAGAAGUGGAGAAUCCGGCCCGGCCUUCCCCAGUAGCGCUUCCCGGCUUCCCGUGGCCCCUCCUCCUGGGAACAAAGGACGAUGGAAAAGCCCGUGGGUGGAAGGAAGGCCCGGACCCCAGAGGAGGAAGUGCAUUCACUGAAGGACACACCCGAAGGAGAGAAAGCGUCGUCUGGGGAGGAAAGGCCAAGCAAGAGGUCCACGUUGGCAAAAAAGCACGGCAAGGAACCCGGCCCGAGUCCCGAGGAUGAGGAACAUUUAUUUGAUGCCUUCGAUGCUUCGUUUAAAGAUGACUUCGAGGGGGUUCCCGUGUUCAUCCCUUUUCAGAGAAAGAAGCCCUAUGGGUGCAGCGAGUGUGGACGCAUCUUUAAGCAUAAGACAGACCACCUCCGCCACCAGCGGGUUCACACUGGAGAGAAGCCCUUCAAAUGUGAUCGGUGUGGGAAGCUGUUCAGGCACAGCUCUGACGUCACCAAGCACCAGAGAAUCCACACCGGAGAGAAGCCCUUUAAAUGCAGUGAAUGUGGGAAGGCCUUUAACUGCAGUUCGAAUCUCCUAAAACAUCAGAAAACACACACUGGGGAGAAGCCAUACGAAUGCAAGGAAUGUGGGAAAGCCUUCGCCUACAGCUCAUGUCUCAUUCGCCAUCGGAAACGCCACCCGCGGAAGAAGCACUGAGCGUGGGGAAGCCGUCUGCCGAGAGUCGGCGUUCGCGCCCGUGAGAACCAUCCAGGGCGGGCCUGUCCCGCCGUCCCCCAUCCGACGUCUGAUGGAGGCCGGGCGCCCGGGGGCCGUGCGCUCAGUGCACCUGUGCUUGUGGGUCUCCACCACCAGCGGGACGGUCAGCCCAGCCCGGUACACGCGUGCUGGAGCGGGGUACAGGCCAUCUCCAGGUCGAGACACCGUGAUAACAUGGGAGACGCGUGCAGCUGUGGCACCAGAGACGGUGAGUGUGAUUGUGUCACGGCCGUCUGGGCGGGAGGGACAGCUGGAGCUUGCGAGCGGCCCAGCACCUCCCCCUGCGGCCUCCCUGUGGCACCCGCUCUGGUCUCUGCCUUUUCACCUGCUCCUUCGAAGACUUCAGGCUGCAGACUGCUGACCUGCUGGGCCCCCAGCCCAUCCCCGCACAGCCUGGCAGGAGGCCUGCGGUCAGGUCCCCACAGCGCUGCACCAGACACCUGCUGUCCCCACUCGGCUGGCCGUGGUGACAGUCCUGUGGUUUGUGUCUGGCUUCCCUCCUUGGGCUGGAGCACCAGUCCUGGGACUCAGCUUCCCCUUCCCCCACUGCAUCCCCAGGAACUGGACCCCCUGGCCCAGCCCCCAACCCCGGGUGAGCAGCCUGACUCACCCAGAUGGACCACUCAGGACCUAGAUGCUGCCACCAUGGGCGAUUCCUGCCCUGGACGCGUGGUGGGGGCCCCAAGGGUGUGAGGGCAGCUUCGAGCCAGCCUGCAUCUGCCAUGGGGGUCUUCAGACAUGAGGCAGUGUGUGUGCCCUGCCCUCCGGGGAUCAGCUCUCCAGGGCCAGCAGGACAGAUCCCCAGAAGGGGAAUCGACAGGUGGAGACCAUUCUGGCAAAUCCCCUCCUCCUGGCCGUGCCGGAUAGGCGCCCCCACAGCCCAAGGACGGCAGGCUUGCCCCGGCCUCUCCAGCAGCAGGCAGGAGGGAGACAGAGCAUGAGCAGGGGAGGAACAGAGAGAGAGGGGGACACAGAAUCCGAAGCAGGUUCCAGACUCUGAGCUGUCAGCACAGAGCCUGACGCGGGGCUCGAACCCACGAACUGUGAGAUCGUGACCUGAGCCGAAGUCGGACGCUUGACCGACUGAGCCACCCAGUCGCCCCGGAAAUGUUUUUUAAAUACAGCUUACAAUCAUGAGAAAAAUCACGAAGUCACACUCAACUCGGUUAGUGGCCACUUUUGCCUCCUGGCGCUCUGGCGAGGCAGAUGGGCUAUUUCUUCUGCGUUCGCCACCGUGGUAUCACACCGCCACCGGGCCCCAGAGCCAGAUUCCCAGAUUAAUCUCUGCCUUGAUGGUUUUUCUGUUGUUGUUCAAACGAAACUCAUAUCCUAGGGAAAAAACCCUCUCAAUAACCUGACUCAAAAAAAGUACAUAAUGAAAGUUAUAAAGUCCUCCAGCCUCCAGGACGCUGAAACAGGACCUGCCAGAACCUCGGAGCCACUGCAUCCAGCAGUGGGGACGCCAGCGGGCGAGCUAGGAGUCGGCUGGCUGGGCCUCCGGCUUCAUAAGAACAGCAGCAGAAGGGGGCAAGUAACACGCCCGAAAGUAUCAAAACCAGUGGGGGUGGAGGCUGUCGAGAGAAUUACACAGGCAGAAGUUGGGUGUUUGAAAGGACUGUUGUGGCUUCUGGGCGCAGCUUGGUCAGCUGAGUGCCCGACUCUUGAUUUCAGCUGAGGUCCUGGUCCCAGGGGCGUGGGAUCAAGCCCCACAUCGGACUCCGUGCUGAGCGUGGAACCUGCUUGAAAUUCCCUCCCCAUCUCUCUCUCUCGCUCUCUCUUUCUCCCCCUCUCUCAGCCCCUCCAUCCCCCUUGCACUCUCUCUAUAAUAAAAUUUUAAAAAGGAAAAACGGAUUGUUAAAGCUGGCAUCGUGUGACAGUAGCGUCCAGGAAAAGGGAAGGAGCCGGUAAACUGUUACGGAUGCAGAGGGAAGGUGACAGCAGGUCGUCGGAGGAAAAGACAGCGCACCGAGCCAGUGGCUGUGAGCGCGUACGAGACGGGUUUUAGGAGAAAGGGCAGGUGGUGAAGCCAGCACGACAGGGCGCCGCCCAAAGACCCUGUCACUGCUGCACAGAGUGUGUCCCCAAAGAAUUCAAGUCAGGUAGUGUGAGUUCAAGAAACAAAAUUCUAGUCUUGUGUGGACUCAGACACUGGAAAGAAGAACCAGCUCACCUUCUAUGGGCUAGUAGAGCCGUGAUGUCAGCAGCACAGCCAGCGCCCCCUGCUGCCGGACGGAAUAGCGACAGGCUGCGUCCCGCGCGGCGGGGAAACGUCGUGGAGCAUGACCAGACCGGGUUGUUUCAGGAAGGCCAAUGUGGCUUAAAACGGCUAUCAAUUCUCACACUAACAGAUAUUAUUAUCUUAACAGCUGCAGAAAUAUUUGCCAAAAUCCAACAUCCGCAAAUAAGGAAUACAAUAGAAUUUUCU